AUUGAACGCUGGCGGCAUGCUUUACACAUGCAAGUCGAACGGUAACGCGGGGGCAACCCUGGCGACGAGUGGCGAACGGGUGAGUAAUACAUCGGAACAUGUCCUGGAGUGGGGGAUAGCUCGGCGAAAGCCGGAUUAAUACCGCAUACGCUCUGAGGAGGAAAGCGGGGGACCUGGUAACGGGCCUCGCGCUGCGGGAGUGGCCGAUGUCGGAUUAGCUAGUUGGUGAGGUAAAGGCUCACCAAGGCGACGAUCCGUAGCUGGUCUGAGAGGAUGAUCAGCCACACUGGGACUGAGACACGGCCCAGACUCCUACGGGAGGCAGCAGUGGGAAUUUUGGACAAUGGGGGCAACCCUGAUCCAGCCAUGCCGCGUGAGUGAAGAAGGCCUGGUGUAG
rnacentral:rRNA from 1 species